CCUACGGGCGGCUGCAGUGGGGAAUAUUGGACAAUGGGGGGAACCCUGAUCCAGCCAUGCCGCGUGUGUGAAGAAGGCCCUCGGGUUGUAAAGCACUUUCAGUGAGGAAGGACGCCUGGUGGUUAAUACCCAUCAGGAAAGACAUCACUCACAGAAGAAGCACCGGCUAACUCCGUGCCAGCAGCCGCGGUAAUACGGAGGGUGCGAGCGUUAAUCGGAAUUACUGGGCGUAAAGCGCGCGUAGGUGGCUUGAUAAGCCGGUUGUGAAAGCCCCGGGCUCAACCUGGGAACGGCAUCCGGAACUGUCAAGCUAGAGUGCAGGAGAGGAAGGUAGAAUUCCCGGUGUAGCGGUGAAAUGCGUAGAGAUCGGGAGGAAUACCAGUGGCGAAGGCGGCCUUCUGGACUGACACUGACACUGAGGUGCGAAAGCGUGGGUAGCAAACAGGAUUAGAUACCCGAGUAGUC
rnacentral:rRNA from 1 species